AACGCUGGCGGCGUGCCUAAUACAUGCAAGUCGAGCGAACAGACGAGGAGCUUGCUCCUCUGACGUUAGCGGCGGACGGGUGAGUAACACGUGGGUAACCUACCUAUAAGACUGGGAUAACUCCGGGAAACCGGGGCUAAUACCGGAUAACACAUGAAACCGCAUGGUUUCAUGAUGAAAGACGGUUUUGCUGUCACUUAUAGAUGGACCCGCGGCGUAUUAGCUAGUUGGUAAGGUAACGGCUUACCAAGGCAACGAUACGUAGCCGACCUGAGAGGGUGAUCGGCCACACUGGAACUGAGACACGGUCCAGACUCCUACGGGAGGCAGCAGUAGGGAAUCUUCCGCAAUGGGCGAAAGCCUGACGGAGCAACGCCGCGUGAGUGAUGAAGGUCUUCGGAUCGUAAAACUCUGUUAUUAGGGAAGAACAAGGAUGUAAGUAACUAUGCAUCCCUUGACGGUACCUAAUCAGAAAGCCACGGCUAACUACGUGCCAGCAGCCGCGGUAAUACGUAGGUGGCAAGCGUUAUCCGGAAUUAUUGGGCGUAAAGCGCGCGUAGGCGGUUUUUUUAAGUCUGAUGUGAAAAGCCCACGGCUCAACCGUGGAGGGUCAUUGGAAACUGGAAAACUUGAGUGCAGAAGAGGAAAGUGGAAUUCCAUGUGUAGCGGUGAAAUGCGCAGAGAUAUGGAGGAACACCAGUGGCGAAGGCGACUUUUCUGGUCUGCAACUGACGCUGAUGUGCGAAAGCGUGGGGAUCAAACAGGAUUAGAUACCCUGGUAGUCCACGCCGUAAACGAUGAGUGC
rnacentral:rRNA from 1 species